UACGGGGGGGGCAAGCGUUGUUCGGAAUUACUGGGCGUAAAGGGCUCGUAGGUGGCCAACUAAGUCAGACGUGAAAUCCCUCGGCUUAACCGGGGAACUGCGUCUGAUACUGGAUGGCUUGAGUUUGGGAGAGGGACGCGGAAUUCCUGGUGUAGCGGUGGAAUGCGCAGAUAUCAGGAGGAACGCCGGUGGCGAAGGCGGGUCUCUGGGCAGUAACUGACGCUGAGGAGCGAAAGCGUGGGGAGCGAACAGG
rnacentral:rRNA from 1 species